ACAGCAGUCGCCGCGGUAAAACGUAGGGUGCAAGCGUUAAUCGGAAUUACUGGGCGUAAAGCGUGCGCAGGCGGUUAUAUAAGACAGAUGUGAAAUCCCCGGGCUCAACCUGGGAACUGCAUUUGUGACUGUAUAGCUAGAGUACGGCAGAGGGGGAUGGAAUUCCGCGUGUAGCAGUGAAAUGCGUAGAUAUGCGGAGGAACACCGAUGGCGAAGGCAAUCCCCUGGGCCUGUACUGACGCUCAUGCACGAAAGCGUGGGGAGCAAACAGGAUUAGAGACCCCCGUAGUCCCUGUCUCUUAUAC
rnacentral:rRNA from 1 species